rnacentral:rRNA from 1 species
GACGAACGCUGGCGGCGUGCUUAACACAUGCAAGUCGAGCGGUAAGGCCCUUUCGGGGGUACACGAGCGGCGAACGGGUGAGUAACACGUGGGUGACCUGCCCUCAGCUCUGGGAUAAGCCUGGGAAACCGGGUCUAAUACUGGAUAUGACUCCAUGACGCAUGUUGUGGGGUGGAAAGCCUUGUGCGGCUGAGGAUGGGCCCGCGGCCUAUCAGCUUGUUGGUGGGGUGAGGCCUACCAAGGCGACGACGGGUAGCCGCCUGAGAGGGCGACCGGCCACACUGGGACUGAGACACGGCCCAGACUCCUACGGGAGGCAGCAGUGGGGAAUCUUGCGCAAUGGGCGAAAGCCUGACGCAGCGACGCCGCGUGAGGGAUGACGGCCUGGUGUAAC